ensembl:lncRNA
AGAAUGAGCCUGACCUUAGGAUUCGCGGCAAUGACAGCGAGCAACGCGCUGGCUGGGGUCUUCUAAGAACGUCUUUACUCUUGGCUCUGCCGCGUUACAACUAAAUGGCACCACUCUGCCUUCCAAAAAUCACUGCAAAAGCCCUGUGCUCCAUGCAGUGUGGUCUCAGAGGUCCGCUCAUGGGCUCACGAGGGCUCGUAGGGCUGCAGGAGGCACGGGUGUGCUCCUGGGGGAGAGCACAAUAGGCAGAAGGAAAUGACAGCUCUGGUUUUUGACCAGCUCUCAGAACCACUCUCAGGAGUCAUCCACGUGCUCGGUGGUUGCUGCUCUCUUCAGAGAUUAUAAUCUCCUUCAAGCAGAGACUCAUCUUCUUGCACAACUCUGAAUGCCACUGAAGUCAGAAACUGCACAGCCAUCAACACCGAGAUAAUGCAGAAGGUAUGAAGGAAUAAGAAUCUGUCUUUGAACUGCAUACCCUGAUGUAUUUUGCAAUUCUAUAUCUGAAAGAACAGCUAGGAGUGCCAUGAUCUGCCCCUUUGACAGCCAUGGGAGGUAGAUAUAGAGAAGACAGCCUCAGGCAUGGAUCUGCAGUCACUGCCAGGUACAAAAUUCUCCAAUUUGCAAUGCCACGUGAAAGAUCUCCUGCUGUUUGAGUGCACGUAUGGCCAGCCCAUCUACGAGCAGAUUAAGUAACCCUUCUUUGAUGGACAAUUUUGUUCAACUUUCUUCAUCACAGGCUAAAGUACAUGAGAAGGUAUUAUCAACAUCUGAAAAUAAACUUGCUAUAAUGAGAUUAAUAUGGUUGGUUGAUUACAUUCAGUCAUCAUUUUCUAACCCUGAUUUUAAUUUCGCUCCACAUUUUAAGUUCGUGCUAUAUAAACUCAUAUUUACUUUCUUAUGCUCCUCACUGCACUCAGUUUUCCAAGUUGCUUUCUAAUUUGCUUUAAUCUUCAUGCUGGUGUCUCCUGCCAGAAAUGACUUUUGGGUACUGGUGCAUUUUAUUGAACCAUGUUCUUCUAGACAGUUACUGAUGACCCUAGUUAAGCUCAGAAGUGAUUUACAAUCAGUAGGGUGUUUUAUGUGACAGAGAAAUAGUUUUAAGCUCCAUGACAGCUUUGAAAGGUUCUAGUGAAUACAAUUUAAGAACCAAUCAACUUAGGAAAAAGCAUGUAAUGAAAAUAUUAUGAGUCUCUUCAAUGUCACUUGUACUCGCUGGGUAUUUAUGGGCUUGGUGCCAGUCGGUGGUGGCUUGAACUCCUAUCCCAGUGGUGAGCGGGGUGCCAGCUGAUUCCAGCUGGGGCUAGUUCAAAAGCUAUAGCUCCUGCCAAGUAGCUUGUGAAUAAAAGGCUGGCUUGGAUCAGUCCAAACACCAUUGGAAGGUGCUGUGCAGGACUGACACUGGAGAAAACUGUGGGAAUGGUGCACGUAAUACUCUUUUUCUGUUUUUACCUUUUUACUGUAAAACUCUUCUCUUCCAAUGAUCAUGUAAGUUCACGACUCUCACAGAGAAGAAGCAGCAGAGAGAAACAGAUUCUGCCUGGGUUUUGCUCAGAACCAGGUCUAAUUCCCACAGAAAGAUUGCACGAACCAGAAUUGCCCAUGCUGGCCAUGAAAUCAAUGUCCUUCAACUGAUGUCCAAGAGGCGUUAAGUGAUGUCAAGCUGUCUGAAGAUUGCUCCUUGUGGUCCUAUACUCAUGCAGUCUGUUCUCUGGAGAAGAGCGCUCAGCUUGGGAUGGUUUGGACAAUAAAGAAUUUGAACC